rnacentral:rRNA from 1 species
GACGAACGCUGGCGGCGUGCCUAAUACAUGCAAGUAGAGCGCUGAAGGAGGAGCUUGCUUCUCCGGAUGAGUUGCGAACGGGUGAGUAACGCGUAGGUAACCUGCCUGGUAGCGGGGGAUAACUAUUGGAAACGAUAGCUAAUACCGCAUAACAGUAGAUAUUGCAUGAUAUCUGCUUGAAAGGUGCAAUUGCAUCACUACCAGAUGGACCUGCGUUGUAUUAGCUAGUUGGUGAGGUAACGGCUCACCAAGGCGACGAUACAUAGCCGACCUGAGAGGGUGAUCGGCCACACUGGGACUGAGACACGGCCCAGACUCCUACGGGAGGCAGCAGUAGGGAAUCUUCGGCAAUGGACGGAAGUCUGACCGAGCAACGCCGCGUGAGUGAAGAAGGUUUUCGGAUCGUAAAGCUCUGUUGUAAGAGAAGAACGAGUGUGAGAGUGGAAAGUUCACACUGUGACGGUAUCUUACCAGAAAGGGACGGCUAACUACGUG